rnacentral:rRNA from 1 species
UAAAUCCUACGGGACGCAGCAGUGGGGGAUAUUGCACAAUGGGGGGAACCCUGAUGCAGCGACGCCGCGUGGGCGAUGGAGUACUUCGGUAUGUAAAGCCCUAUCAGCAGGGAAGAAAAUGACGGUACCUGACUAAGAAGCCCCGGCUAAAUACGUGCCAGCAGCCGCGCUAAUACGUAUGGGGCAAGCGUUCUCCGGAUUUACUGGGUGUAAAGGGAGCGUAGGCGGCCUGGCAAGCCUGAUGUGAAAUACCGGGGCCCAACCCCGGGGCUGCAUUGGGAACUGCCAGGCUGGAGUGCCGGAGG